UAGAACGUUUGAGACAAUCAAAGAAAGAGAGAAAAAAAGAAGAACAGGUUUAAUAUACAUUAUGGAAGUCGUCAGAAAGUGUAGAUAAGAGAGAAAGUUUGAGACAAUCAAAGAAAGAGAAAAAAAGAAGAAGAACAGAAGUCCUCAGAAAAUGUAGAUGAGAGCGGAUGACAAGAGCUAACCACAUUCAACAUCUUGGUAGUGGGACCAGAGAUUACCAAAUUAAACAUCUAAGUAGGGUAAAUAAAG